rnacentral:rRNA from 1 species
UGAGGAAUAUUGCACAAUGGGCGGAAGCCUGAUGCAGCAACGCCGCGUGAGGGACGAAGGCCCUCGGGUCGUAAACCUCUUUUCUGAGGGAAGAGACAAGGACGGUACCUCAGGAAUAAGUCUCGGCUAACUACGUGCCAGCAGCCGCGGUAAAACGUAGGAGGCGAGCGUUAUCCGGAAUUACUGGGCGUAAAGGGCAUGCAGGCGGCUUGGUAAGUUGGACGUGAAAGCUCCUGGCUUAACUGGGAGAGUGCGUUCGAAACUGCUGAGCUUGAGGCUGGGAGAGGGGUGUGGAAUUCCCGGUGUAGUGGUGGAAUGCGUAGAUAUCGGGAGGAACACCAGUGGCGGAAGCGGCACCCUAGACCAGGCCUGACGCUGAUAUGCGAAAGCGUGGGGAGCAAACA